rnacentral:rRNA from 1 species
UACGGGGGUGGCAAGCGUUGUUCGGAAUUAAUUUGGGCGGUAAAGACGCGUGUAGGCGGUUUGUUAAGUCUGAUGUGAAAGCCCCUGGGCUCAACCCAGGAAGUGCAUUGGAUACUGGCAGACUUGAAUACGGGAGAGGGUAGUGGAAUUCCUGGUGUAGGAGUGAAAUCCGUAAGUAUCAGGAGGAACACCGGUGGCGAAGGCGGCUGCCUGGACCGAUAUUGACGCUGAGACGCGAAAGCGUGGGUAGCAAACAGGAUUAGAUACCCCGGUAGU